UGGGGAAUAUUGCACAAUGGGGGAAACCCUGAUGCAGCGACGCCGCGUGAGCGAAGAAGGUUUUCGAAUCGUAAAGCUCUGUCCUAUGGGAAGAUAAUGACGGUACCAUAGGAGGAAGCCCCGGCUAACUACGUGCCAGCAGCCGCGGUAAUACGUAGGGGGCAAGCGUUGUCCGGAAUCACUGGGCGUAAAGGGUUCGCAGGCGGAAAUGCAAGUCAGUUGUGAGAGGCAGAGGCUCAACCUCUGUAAGCAAUUGAAACUGUAUUUCUUGAGAUGUGGAGAGGCAAGUGGAAUUCCUAGUGUAGCGGUGAAAUGCGUAGAUAUUAGGAAGAAUACCGGUGGCGAAGGCGACUUGCUGGACACAAACUGACGCUGAGGAACGAAAGCGUGGGUAGCAAACAGG
rnacentral:rRNA from 1 species